AUUGAACGCUGGCGGCAGGCCUAACACAUGCAAGUCGAACGGUAACAGGAAGCAGCUUGCUGCUUCGCUGACGAGUGGCGGACGGGUGAGUAAUGUCUGGGAAGCUGCCUGAUGGAGGGGGAUAACUACUGGAAACGGUAGCUAAUACCGCAUAAUGUCGCAAGACCAAAGAGGGGGACCUUCGGGCCUCUUGCCAUCGGAUGUGCCCAGAUGGGAUUAGCUUGUUGGUGGGGUAACGGCUCACCAAGGCGACGAUCCCUAGCCGGUCUGAGAGGAUGACCAGCCACACUGGAACUGAGACACGGUCCAGACUCCUACGGGAGGCAGCAGUGGGGAAUAUUGCACAAUGGGCGCAAGCCUGAUGCAGCCAUGCCGCGUGUAUGAAGAAGGCCUUCGGGUUGUAAAGUACUUUCAGCGGGGAGGAAGGGAGUAAAGUUAAUACCUUUGCUCAUUGACGUUACCCGCAGAAGAAGCACCGGCUAACUCCGUG
rnacentral:rRNA from 1 species